UUACAAUGGGGGGUACAGAGGGCCGCUACCACGCGAGUGGAUGCCAAUCCCUAAAACCCCUCUCAGUUCGGACUGGAGUCUGCAACCCGACUCCACGAAGCUGGAUUCGCUAGUAAUCGCGCAUCAGCCACGGCGCGGUGAAUACGUUCCCGGGCCUUGUACACACCGCCCGUCAAGCCAUGGGAGCCGGGGUACCUGAAGUGCGUAACCGCGAGGAUCGCCCUAGGGUAAAACUGGUGACUGGGGCUAAGUCGUAACAAGGUAUC
rnacentral:rRNA from 1 species